AUUGAACGCUGGCGGCAGGCCUAACACAUGCAAGUCGAACGAGUGGCGGACGGGUGAGUAAUGUCUGGGAAACUGCCUGAUGGAGGGGGAUAACUACUGGAAACGGUAGCUAAUACCGCAUACCAUCAGAUGUGCCCAGAUGGGAUUAGCUAGUAGGUGGGGUAACGGCUCACCUAGGCGACGAUCCCUAGCUGGUCUGAGAGGAUGACCAGCCACACUGGAACGGAGAAACGGUCCAUACGCCUACGGGAGGCAGCAGUGGGGAAUAUUGCACAAUGGGCGCAAGCCUGAUGCAGCCAUGCCGCGUGUAUGAAGAAGGCCUUCGGGUUGUAAAGUACUUUCAGCGAGGAGGCGUUACCCGCAGAAGAAGCACCGGCUAACUCCGUGCCAGCAGCCGCGGUAAUAC
rnacentral:rRNA from 1 species